rnacentral:rRNA from 1 species
GACGAACGCUGGCGGCGUGCCUAAUACAUGCAAGUAGGACGCAGUUGCGAACGGGAGAGUAACGCGUAGGUAACUACCUAUAAGAGAGGGAUAACUAUUGGAAACGAUAGCUAAUACCGCAUACUAGUAGAUGGACCUGCGUUGUAUUAGCUAGUAGGUAGGGUAAUGGCCUACCUAGGCAACCAUACAUCGCCGAGCUGGUAGGGUGAUCGGCCACACUUGGACUGGGACACUGCCCAGACUCCUACGGGAGGCAGCAGUAGGGAAGCUUCGGAAAUGGGGGGAACCCUGACCGAGCAACGCCACGGUAGUGAAGAAGGUUUUCGGAUCGUAAAGCUCUGUUGUGAAGGAAGCGGUACUUAACCAGAAAGGGACGGCUAACUACGUGCCAGCCGCCGCGGUAAUAC